rfam:Ictidomys tridecemlineatus contig099876, whole genome shotgun sequence.
UGUGUUGUGGCUCAGUGGUAGAGUGCUUGCCUGGCAUGUUUGAGAUCCUGAGUUCAAUCCUCAGCACCACAU